ensembl:lncRNA
GUAUAUUAGUACAUGGAGUCAGGGGGAAGAAGAGUGGGCUGCAGAUGAGUCAACUCAAGAGUCAGACAGCCAGAAGCACUGAUCCAAAUGAGAUGCUCUCUCUUGUAAGUGGAGUUUUGUCAUACUAGAAGGAAGCUACACAAUAACAGAAAUGCAGACGAUAUGGAAGUUUUCAUGAAGGCCUUCUGAUCCUUCUCAAGAAGCUCACAUAUGCCUCAAACAAAAAUGUCACCCAGCAAGUGAUAACUCUGGAGGACAGAUUCCGGACUGUGGGAAAGAAAAAAAAAAUACAAGUAAGACAACGGGCUCCGGGAACCUGGAGCCACCCCCACCCCCAUCCAGCCCCUCUGGGGCCCAUGCUCACAGACAGAGUGGGCGAGGCCGACUCCCUCAGGGGACGGCUAUUAGUCAGAUG